UUCUGAUUGCACGCCCGAUUUCUCGUUCAAAAAGGCCAUGAAAUCCAGACUAACCUACAGUUUGAUUGAAACAUCCGACUCCAGGACGAACCAGUUGUGUCUUAAACUUAUAUUGUUGGGUCAUAUAAAAAAGCACAAAAAUGUGAAAAUUGGGGGGGGGGGAUUUCCCUCUGAUCGUUUUUUGCGAUAUGAAACAACAUAACACUUUCAUUAUAACACGGGGGUGCCAUUUUUUGCGUUUUUAAUCAUCCACUCAUAUGUAGUCGCCAUCCCUUGGCUGACAUGGGCAGCUCGUGAUGGAACUAAGAUGAGGAAGGUCAGAAUAAAAUAUGGGCCUAACCGUCACUUGGUACAAAUACUGCUGAAGUUUCAAUUAUUGUACCUUUUUCAUGUCUUUGGUAUUUAAUUGUUAAAAUUUUAAUCGUUGAUCAAUCGAAUAGCACUUCUUUUCUAUGUCUUUCAUAUUAAGGUAUUUACAUACUAUUCUUGAUCAAUUAAAUGGUCCAUUUCUCAUGUCUUUGUUAUUUGAUAAGUAUUAUUUCUUUUUAUUGGUUAAUCAAAUUAUUUCCAAAUUGAUCUGGACUAUUAGUUUAUUUGUAAUGGUUUCAUGAAUCAUACUGUAACACCAAGGAUUUAAACAAAAAUGUUCACUAUUCCUAUGAUGAUCAUUGCUCGCUUUGUUUUGUAGACACGAUUCCCAUAAUGUGAAUUAUUGAAUUUUCCUAUUGAUUGAUCCUGUGUGUGAGUCAGAAACAUUCUCAAAACCCCACCUGCUAAACCUUAUUGAUAAGUACAUUAUAAGUAUUAACAUUUUUGGAGUGCAAGUUCGCAAAAAUUCCAAACAUAUAUAAAAAGUUCAUGCAUUUUUUAAACAUUUUCAGAUUAUGACAAACCUAUGAAUAGAAUUCCUCUCUCCCUUUCCACUGUGUUACUUAUUUAAUACUGUGUAAUGUGUAUGUCCAAUGAGUUGCACUUUAUUUUAUUUAUUAUUUUUCACGUUCAGACACAUUCUCAUCACAUUUAUUUUUUUGUCCCUGAUCCACUUUGUAUAUAUAGCCAAUUUAUUUAUUUUUUUCUGAUUAUUAUCGUCCAAACCCCAUUGAAUUUAGUUAUCAGUUAAGUAUAAUUUUCCAUCACAUCCCCUCAUUUUGUUCACAAAUUUAUUGUAAAAAUAUUAUCGUAAUAGUUCAAGUUUUGCCACUAGU